GACGAACGCUGGCGGCGUGCUUAAUACAUGCAAGUCGAGCGGACAGACGAGGAGCUUGCUCCUCUGACGAUAGCGGAGGAGGGGAGAGUAACACGUGGAUAACGUACCUAUAAGAGGGGGAUAACUUCGGGAAACGGGAGAAAAUACCGGAGAAUAUAUUGAACCGCAUGGUGGAAUAGUGAAAGACGGUUUUGCUGGCACUUAUAGAUGGAUCCGCGCCGCAUUAGCUUGUUGCUAAGGUAAAGGGUUACGAAGGCAACGAGGCGUAGCCGACCUGAGGGGCUGGUCGGCCACCCUGGAGCUUGACCACCCUCCUGACUCCUACGGGACGCACCAGUAUGGAAUCGUCCGCAAUGGGCGAAAGCCUUACGCAGCAACGCCGCGUGUGUGAUGAAGGUCUUCGGAUCGUAAAACUCUGUUAUUAGGGAAGAACAAAUGUGUAAGUUACUAUGCACGUCUUGACGGUACCUAAUCAGAAAGCCCCGGCUAACUACGUG
rnacentral:rRNA from 1 species